AAUGAACGUUGGCGGCGUGGAUUAGGCAUGCAAGUCGAGCGAGGAAACAGGUAGCAAUAUGUGUUAUUCGAGCGGCGUAAGGGGCAGUAAUACCUGGGAACGUACCCUGAGGUCGGGGAUAGCUGCUGGAAACGGCGAGUAAUACCCGAUGAUCUCGGAAGAGCAAAGGCUUGCCGCCUUGGGAGCGGCCCAGGCGAUAUUAGCUAGUUGGUGAGGUAACGGCUUACCAAGGCUUAGAUGUCUAGCGGGUGUGAGAGCACGACCCGCGCCACUGGCACUGAGACACUGGCCAGACACCUACGGGUGGCUGCAGUCGAGAAUCUUCGGCAAUGAGCGCAAGCUUGACCGA
rnacentral:rRNA from 1 species